rnacentral:rRNA from 1 species
AGUGAACGCUGGCGGUAGGCCUAACACAUGCAAGUCGAACGGCAGCACAGUAAGAGCUUGCUCUUACGGGUGGCGAGUGGCGGACGGGUGAGGAAUACAUCGGAAUCUACUUUUUCGUGGGGGAUAACGUAGGGAAACUUACGCUAAUACCGCAUACGACCUACGGGUGAAAGCAGGGGAUCUUCGGACCUUGCGCGAUUGAAUGAGCCGAUGUCGGAUUAGCUAGUUGGCGGGGUAAAGGCCCACCAAGGCGACGAUCCGUAGCUGGUCUGAGAGGAUGAUCAGCCACACUGGAACUGAGACACGGUCCAGACUCCUAAGGGAGGCAGCAGUGGGGAAUAUUGGACAGUGGGCGCAAGCCUGAUCCAGCCAUACCGCGUGGGUGAAGAAGGCCUUCGGGUUGUAAAGCCCUUUUGUUGGGAAAGAAAAGCAGCAGGUUAAUACCCCGCUGUUCUGACGGUACCCAAAGAAUAAGCACCGGCUAACUUCGUG